ensembl:lncRNA
GGGGAAGGUUCUCUUUCUGGAGAUCCCCUCUUGGUGAAGUUUUCUACUGUGAACCUGGAAUCUUAUGAUACGGGUCAUCUGUUCCAUGAAGAUAUAGCCAUCUGGGAAAUUAGCAUAUAUAUUUUAUGAAGCAGAGCAGAGCUCCCUCUUGUACUGACUCAGAUGCUGAAGUCCCAGAUUCACAGUAUCCUGCCUAGCCAGCACAGCACAGCUUGUACAGCUUCUGUUACCAGUGGCUUACCUCUCCCCUGCAUGAAGAGCAAACCUGCAUUAAAGUGAUGCUGAUACAGCCAUUUGCGAACCCAACCAGCUUCACGAUGGAGGCAAGCUAACCUGACUGUGGGUUGAACAGGAGAGGGUGGCUUGGCUUUCAGCUAGUUGAAUGAGCUGAAAUGACUCUAGAGCUGCGCAGUCACUGCUGCUGGAAUCAGGAAAGCAGGUCAGGCAUGUGACAUGGGGCAGGGAAGUCCCUUUCAGCAGCAGGAACGUUGGAUAAGCU